UGAAAUUGCCGAGACGUGAUUGACAGGACUUCAGACAGUGACAGCUGCAGCAGGAAAGGCUAACUUGAACAGGUAGAAGUUACUCUGCUACAGGAGGGAUCUUGCGAGACUGACAGCACGACGAGAAAUAAGGGGGAUAAUUCAUAACUCCUGGGGAGUGUUUGUUUGUUUGUUUGUUUGUUUGUUUGGAUCACGUGGGCCUCUGGAUCAUAGGAGUAGAUGCCGGGAACGCUCGGAGAUUCCACUGAGCACUUCGAUGAGACGACGGCCACCAGUCGUCCCCGUGCCCCAAUCAAGCCCAAAAGAGAAGAUUUUGUUUGCUGACGACUGGUUAUGGAGAUGUCGUUUACUAGGGAACCCCUGGACGCUGACCGGGGCCUGGAAAGGGACUCUGAGGACGGUGAAGUGGAUAUAAAGAUUUUGGAUGGACAGCAGGCCCUGGGCAGUGAUCCCGGCACAAUUCACUACUGAGCAUUCAGUGGACUGGACUUUACAUCGGCAGGCACUUACAAAUGCAAGGGGGGCAACACUGAGGGCGCUUCAACUUUGCAGUAUGCUGUGAUAUUGCGUCAAUAUUAUAUCCUUCAUUACUUUAUCUGAUGACUACGUGCUGCAUUACUUUAUCUCAUUCGUUUACCUCGUCACAUAUUAACAUUAUGACAAUGCAGUUUGACUGUUUAGCGGUCGGUGGACAUGUAAUUUCUUUUCCUUACUGUUUUGAGAGCUCAUACUGUUUUGUGGAUUGUGAUAUGUGCCAGGACUCCUUGUACCUGGCUGACGCCAGGUGGAGGGAAUCACUGGGGAUGUUAGAAAGGGCCUCCCUCUUUUUCCUUGUCAUUAGACUGGCAGGGUUUUUUCUCGAGGGAGGGCCGGCAACUUUUUGGGGCUUCUAACGGGCCAC